AUCGAACGCUAGCGGGAUGCUUUAUACAUGCAAGUCGAACAGUGGCGGAGGGGUGAGUAAUAUAUCGGAACGUGCCUAGUAGCCGGGGAUAACUACGCGAAAGAGUGGCUACUACUGCAUACUACUGGAGCGGACGAUAUCGGAUGAGCUAGUGGGUGGGGUAAAGGUUAACCAAGGCAACGAUCCGUAGCAGGUUUGAGAGGACGACCGGCCACACUGGGACUGAGACACGGCCCAGACUCCUACGGGAGGCAGCAGUGGGGAAUUUUGGGCAAUGGGGGAAACCCUGACCCAGCCAUCCCGCGUGUGUGAGAAGGCCUUCGGGUUGUAAAGUACUUUUGGCAGAGAAGCGGUAUCUGAAGAAUAAGCACCGGCUAACUACGUGCCAGCAGCCGCGGUAAUUC
rnacentral:rRNA from 1 species